CGGGAUAUAGCUCAGUUUGGUAGAGCACCUGGUUUGGGACCAGGGUGUCGUAGGUUCAAAUCCUACUAUCCCGA
rnacentral:tRNA from 1 species